CGUAUCACCCAAGACAACUUUACGGAGUUGACGAUUGACGGAGCGAAGCGACGUCAAAGCGUUCAUUAAAGUCGAGUUGGCUUAGGGAUACGUUCGUUGGGUAGGGGAGCGUUCUGUAAGCCUGUGAAGGUGUGUCGUGAGGCAUGCUGGAGGUAUCAGAAGUGCGAAUGCUGACAUAAGUAACGAUAAAGCGGGUGAAAAGCCCGCUCGCCGGAAGACCAAGGGUUCCUGUCCAACGUUAAUCGGGGCAGGGUGAGUCGACCCCUAAGGCGAGGCCGAAAGGCGUAGUCGAUGGGAAACGGGUUAAUAUUCCCGUACUUGGUGUUACUGCGAAGGGGGGACGGAGAAGGCUAUGUUGGCCGGGCGACGGUUGUCCCGGUUUAAGCGUGUAGGUGUGUGUUCCAGGUAAAUCCGGUUCACUUUAACACUGAGGCGUGACGACGAGGCACUACGGUGCUGAAGCAACAAAUGCCCUGCUUCCAGGAAAAGCCUCUAAGCAUCAGGUAACAUCAAAUCGUACCCCAAACCGACACAGGUGGUCAGGUAGAGAAUACCAAGGCGCUUGAGAGAACUCGGGUGAAGGAACUAGGCAAAAUGGUGCCGUAACUUCGGGAGAAGGCACGCUGACACGUAGGUGAAGUGAUUUACUCAUGGAGCUGAAGUCAGUCGAAGAUACCAGCUGGCUGCAACUGUUUAUUAAAAACACAGCACUGUGCAAACACGAAAGUGGACGUAUACGGUGUGACGCCUGCCCGGUGCCGGAAGGUUAAUUGAUGGGGUCAGCGCAAGCGAAGCUCCUGAUCGAAGCCCCGGUAAACGGCGGCCGUAACUAUAACGGUCCUAAGGUAGCGAAAUUCCUUGUCGGGUAAGUUCCGACCUGCACGAAUGGCGUAAUGAUGGCCAGGCUGUCUCCACCCGAGACUCAGUGAAAUUGAACUCGCUGUGAAGAUGCAGUGUACCCGCGGCAAGACGGAAAGACCCCGUGAACCUUUACUAUAGCUUGACACUGAACAUUGAGCCUUGAUGUGUAGGAUAGGUGGGAGGCUUUGAAGUGUGGACGCCAGUCUGCAUGGAGCCGACCUUGAAAUACCACCCUUUAAUGUUUGAUGUUCUAACGUGGACCCGUAAUCCGGGUUGCGGACAGUGUCUGGUGGGUAGUUUGACUGGGGCGGUCUCCUCCUAAAGAGUAACGGAGGAGCACGAAGGUUGGCUAAUCCUGGUCGGACAUCAGGAGGUUAGUGCAAUGGCAUAAGCCAGCUUGACUGCGAGCGUGACGGCGCGAGCAGGUGCGAAAGCAGGUCAUAGUGAUCCGGUGGUUCUGAAUGGAAGGGCCAUCGCUCAACGGAUAAAAGGUACUCCGGGGAUAACAGGCUGAUACCGCCCAAGAGUUCAUAUCGACGGCGGUGUUUGGCACCUCGAUGUCGGCUCAUCACAUCCUGGGGCUGAAGUAGGUCCCAAGGGUAUGGCUGUUCGCCAUUUAAAGUGGUACGCGAGCUGGGUUUAGAACGUCGUGAGACAGUUCGGUCCCUAUCUGCCGUGGGCGCUGGAGAACUGAGGGGGGCUGCUCCUAGUACGAGAGGACCGGAGUGGACGCAUCACUGGUGUUCGGGUUGUCAUGCCAAUGGCACUGCCCGGUAGCUAAAUGCGGAAGAGAUAAGUGCUGAAAGCAUCUAAGCACGAAACUUGCCCCGAGAUGAGUUCUCCC
rnacentral:rRNA from 1 species